rnacentral:rRNA from 1 species
ACGCUCGACACCUACGGGAGGCAGCAGUUAGGAAUAUUGGGCAAUGGAGGGAACUCUGACCCAGCAACGCCGCGUGAAGGAAGAAGGUUUUCGGACUGUAAACUUCUGAUCUAAGGGAAAAAGAAGUGAUGGUACCUUAGGAGAAAGCCACGGCUAACUACGUGCUAGCGGCCGCGUAAUCUGAGCGGGCUGGCAAGGC